CACAUGUUUAUAGAAGCAAAGAUGAGAUAUGAGCGAGUACCCUGCGUUCUCACCUUGGAGUCUGCCGACUUCGACUUCCUCUCCUUCAGAGCAGCAGAUGUGUCAGACACAACCAUCUUUCUGACAGGGGUCAAGGGACGGGCCAGGGACGUUCCCCUAGGAGGGCUGACCUUCUAACGAUUCAAUCAUUUAAGAGGGAAACUAAGAUCACUGUGGAACACACAAACACAUUCCAAGUCAUUUAGUAAUUUGUUAAAAUUGAUGGGUUAUACUGCAGAUCCUUGACAAAAAAAAGAUCACUGAAGGGGAGGGUGGGGAAAAAUAUAAUACUUCAAAUGCUAUGCCAAAAGAAGAAAGAAAAUCUGUUCCACAACCCCAUUUAAAGGCAUCCUUAGCAUGUUCCUGACGUGAUGUCUGUUGAAAACGAUCCCAAAAUGAAUUGUCAAAAUAUGAAUUUCAAAAAUAGAUUCAAUAUAAAUACAUGAUAUAAAUGAAUGAUAAAAUUGGUGGGAAAAGCCAGAAAAUUCAUUCAAUACUAAUUAGUAUUUCAUAUUAAAAAUAGUUUAACUUAAAAUUGUACCUUUUAUUAGGGUGCUACAGUAUGUAUUUUUACAACCACCCAAAAAAAAAAAAAAAUCCAAAAUUCUUUUAUGCUCGCCAGGUCUACAUUAAUUUGAUUUAAGAAAUACAGUAAAAACUGUUAUAUUGUGAAAUAUGAUUACAAAUUUAAAUGUUUUCUAUUUUAAUAUAUUUUAAAAUGUCAUUUAUUCCUGUUAUGGCAUCACACCAGUCUUCAGUGUCACAUGGUUCUUCAGAAAUAUUUCUAAAAUGCUGACUUGGUGCUCAAGAAAUUUUAUGUUGCUUAAUAUUUUGAGGAAACCUGAUUGAUUGAUUGAUUGAUUGAUUGAUUGAUUGAUUGAUUGAUUGAUUGAUUCCCCCAGGAUUCUUAUAAAAAUGUCAAAACAGCCUCAUUUAUCUAAAAAUGCACCCUUACUAAAUAAAAGUCUUAAAAAUACAAUAUUUCUGUAGAACGGUAGUGUAUUAGUACAUCAUUAGAAAACUCCAUUGUUGCCAAUGUAGAGCAUUCCAAAUCAGUCACUUAAGAGGUUAGGAAGCUGCCUUAGAAGGCAGUUGCCUAUGUAGUAGACAGUAAUGCAGCUCGCUAGAUUUUGAGGGAAAACACAUCAAUUGAUUACGAGGAACCAGCCUUUAAACACAACAACAAAAGCAUUUUUUUUCCCUUUGAGGGAGAACUGCUUUUCCCAUUACAAAGAACGAUUGUGCCUUGAUAGCCAACAUUCUCUGUCAGCAUGUUAUGGCCCUACUAAUGCAACUGUAUAAAUUAAGAUUAUGAAAGAAUUAUUCUGCUCUGUCUAGCAAUUAAAGACACUCAAGUGUGGCUUUUGAGGGCAGGCAGCCAGACUCUCGCCGGCACCAGUCCUGGCACUCUCUCAUUCUUUGAGAGUGUCUCUAUUCAUCCUCCCUAAAACAUUUUUAUCAGAAUGGAAUGUGUGAACGAGUCUCCACGGCAGGCAGUUUUCUAGGGUUGAGUUUUUCUUACCAUCUGAUGAAGAUGCUCCUAUGUUAAUUAUUAUUAAAAGAAGUUUAUGUUUAAGUUCUAUGAACCUGCGAUCCUAAGCUAUCAAACAUCACCAUGUACCAUCAAAAAUCCUCACUAGGCUUUCAUACCACAGUCAGAACAUAAACAUUGACGUAUCAGAUCACAGUGUCUGAAAAAGUUUAUUUCAACCAAAAGCAUCUACUUAUAACUAACACAAAUCUGUUCACC
ensembl:lncRNA